rfam:Gossypium hirsutum cultivar TM-1 chromosome 1, whole genome shotgun sequence
AACACAUGGUGAGGGCACCUUCUCGAUAAAUCCUUAUAUCUCUCCCAUGCAUCAUAAAGUGUUCCUAAAUCCAUCUGCACAAAAGAAGAGAUAUCAUUCCUCAACUU